rnacentral:rRNA from 1 species
GACGAACGCUGGCGGCGUGCCUAAUACAUGCAAGUAGAACGCUGAAGGGAGGAGCUUGCUCUUCUUGGAUGAGUUGCGAACGGGUGAGUAACGCGUAGGUAACCUGCCUUGUAGCGGGGGAUAACUAUUGGAAACGAUAGCUAAUACCGCAUAACAAUGGAUGACACAUGUCAUUUAUUUGAAAGGGGCAAUUGCUCCACUACAAGAUGGACCUGCGUUGUAUUAGCUAGUAGGUGAGGUAACGGCUCACCUAGGCGACGAUACAUAGCCGACCUGAGAGGGUGAUCGGCCACACUGGGACUGAGACACGGCCCAGACUCCUACGGGAGGCAGCAGUAGGGAAUCUUCGGCAAUGGGGGCAACCCUGACCGAGCAACGCCGCGUGAGUGAAGAAGGUUUUCGGAUCGUAAAGCUCUGUUGUAAGUCAAGAACGAGUGUGAGAGUGGAAAGUUCACACUGUGACGGUAGCUUACCAGAAAGGGACGGCUAACUACGUGCCAGCAGCCGCGGUAAUACGUAGGUCCCGAGCGUUGUCCGGAUUUAUUGGGCGUAAAGCGAGCGCAGGCGGUUUGAUAAGUCUGAAGUUAAAGGCUGUGGCUCAACCAUAGUUCGCUUUGGAAACUGUCAAACUUGAGUGCAGAAGGGGAGAGUGGAAUUCCAUGUGUAGCGGUGAAAUGCGUAGAUAUAUGGAGGAACACCGGUGGCGAAAGCGGCUCUCUGGUCUGUAACUGACGCUGAGGCUCGAAAGCGUGGGGAGCGAACAGGAUUAGAUACCCUGGUAGUCCACGCCGUAAACGAUGAGUGCUAGGUGUUGGAUCCUUUCCGGGAUUCAGUGCCGCAGCUAACGCAUUAAGCACUCCGCCUGGGGAGUACGACCGCAAGGUUGAAACUCAAAGGAAUUGACGGGGGCCCGCACAAGCGGUGGAGCAUGUGGUUUAAUUCGAAGCAACGCGAAGAACCUUACCAGGUCUUGACAUCCCGAUGCUAUUUCUAGAGAUAGAAAGUUACUUCGGUACAUCGGUGACAGGUGGUGCAUGGUUGUCGUCAGCUCGUGUCGUGAGAUGUUGGGUUAAGUCCCGCAACGAGCGCAACCCCUAUUGUUAGUUGCCAUCAUUCAGUUGGGCACUCUAGCGAGACUGCCGGUAAUAAACCGGAGGAAGGUGGGGAUGACGUCAAAUCAUCAUGCCCCUUAUGACCUGGGCUACACACGUGCUACAAUGGUUGGUACAACGAGUUGCGAGUCGGUGACGGCAAGCUAAUCUCUUAAAGCCAAUCUCAGUUCGGAUUGUAGGCUGCAACUCGCCUACAUGAAGUCGGAAUCGCUAGUAAUCGCGGAUCAGCACGCCGCGGUGAAUACGUUCCCGGGCCU